CCCUACGGGGGGCAGCAGUAGGGAAUCUUCCACAAUGGGCGAAAGCCUGAUGGAGCAACGCCGCGUGGGUGAAGAAGGUCUUCGGAUCGUAAAACCCUUUUGUUAGAGAAGAAAGUGCGUGAGAGUAACUGUUCACGUUUCGACGGUAUCUAACCAGAAAGCCACGGCUAACUACGUGCCAGCAGCCGCGGUAAUACGUAGGUGGCAAGCGUUAUCCGGAUUUAUUGGGCGUAAAGUGAACGCAGGCGGCCUUCUAUGUCUUCUGUGAACGCCUUCGGCUUAACCGGCG
rnacentral:rRNA from 1 species